rnacentral:rRNA from 1 species
CCUACGGGGGGCAGCAGUGGGGGAUAUUGCACAAUGGGGGGAACCCUGAUGCAGCGACGCCGCGUGAGCGAUGGAGUACUUCGGUAUGUAAAGCUCUGUCAGCAGGGAAGAAAAUGACGGUACCUGACCAAGAAGCCCCGGCUAAAUACGUGCCAGCAGCCGCGGUAAUACGUAUGGGGCAAGCGUUAUCCGGAUUUACUGGGUGUAAAGGGAGCGUAGGCGGCAGGGCAAGCCUGCUGUGAAAGCCCGGGGCUCAACCCCGGGACUGCAUUGGGAACUGGCCUGCUGGAGUGCAGGAGAGGCAGGCGGAAUUCCUAGUGUAGCGGUGAAAUGCGUAGAUAUUAGGAGGAACACCAGUGGCGAAGGCGGCCUGCUGGACGGUAACUGACGCUGAGGCUCGAAAGCGUGGGGAGCAAACAGGAUUAGAUACCCGAGUAGUC